rnacentral:rRNA from 1 species
UACGGAGGGUGCAAGCGUUAAUCGGAAUUACUGGGCGUAAAGCGCACGCAGGUGGCUGAGUCAGUCGAUUGUGAAAGCCCUGGGCUUAACCUGGGAAUUGCAGUCGAUACUACUCAGCUAGAGUAUGGGAGAGGGCAGUGGAAUUCCCGGUGUAGCGGUGAAAUGCGUAGAGAUGUGGAGGAACACCGAUGGCGAAGGCAGCCCCCUGGGCUAACACUGACGCUCAUGCACGAAAGCGUGGGGAGCAAACAGG